rnacentral:rRNA from 1 species
AGUAGGGAGGAAGGUAGUGUAGUUAAUACCUGCAUUAUUUGACGUUACCUACAGAAGAAGCACCGGCUAACUCCGUGCCAGCAGCCGCGGUAAUACGGAGGGUGCGAGCGUUAAUCGGAAUUACUGGGCGUAAAGCGCAUGCAGGUGGUUUGUUAAGUCAGAUGUGAAAGCCCCGGGGCUCAACCUCGGAAUUGCAUUUGAAACUGGCAGACUAGAGUACCGUAGAGGGGGUAGAAUUUCAGGUGUAGCGGUGAAAUGCGUAGAGAUCUGAAGGAAUACCGGUGGCGAAGGCCGGCCCCCUCGGACAGAUACUGACACUCAGACUGCGAAAGCGUGGGGAGCCAAACAGGAUUAGACUACCCUGGUAG